CCCCCACUCCCCUCUCAGCCCGUUGGGUAACCAGCGUUCAUGUGCCUCCCCCACUCCCCUCUCAGCCCGUUGGGUAACCAGCAUUCAUGUGCCCCCUCCCCUCUCAGCCCAUUGGGUAACCAGCGUUCAUGUGCCCCCCACUCCCCUCUCAGCCCAUUGGAUAACCAGCGUUCAUGUGCCCCCUCCCCUCUCAGCCCAUUGGGUAACCAGCGUUCAUGUGCCCCCCCACUCCCCUCUCAGCCCAUUGGAUAACCAGCGUUCAUUUCAUGUGCCCCCACUCCCCUCUCAGCCCAUUGGGUAACCAGCGUUCAUGUGCCCCCCACUCCCCUCUCAGCCCAUUGGGUAACCAGCGUUCAUGUGCCCCCCACUCCCCUCUCAGCCCGUUGGGUAACCAGCGUUCAUGUGCCCCCACUCCCCUCUCAGCCCAUUGGGUAACCAGCAUUCAUGUGCCCCCCACUCCCCUCUC
ensembl:lncRNA